AGGGGUAUAGCUCAGUGACACAGCCUUUAACUGCAGAUCAAGAGGUCCCCAGUUCAACUCUGGGUGCCCCCUA
rnacentral:tRNA from 1 species